rnacentral:misc_RNA from 1 species
GUGAAUCAUCAAAUCUUUGAACGCAAAUUGCACUCUCCUCGGAGAGUAUGCCUGUUUGAGGUUCAGCCUCUAAAAAUCGACAUCGUUGCUGUUUCGCGGUGGCGUUCGUCGGAAAUUGGGUCAUCUUAAAUCCUUUUGAUUUACGCGACUUAACUUUUUCGUUUGUUUCUAUGAUCGUUUCUUGGAUCUUUUUCUUUCUACU